rnacentral:misc_RNA from 1 species
CGCACAUUGCGCCCCUUGGUAUUCCGAGGGGCAUGCCUGUUCGAGCGUCAUUGCACCACUCAAGCACUGCUUGGUAUUGGGCGUCGCCCCCGGGGCGCGCCCGGAAUUUAGUGGCGGCCCAGCGAGACUUCAAGCGUAGCAAGAUUUUACAUCCCGCUUUGGAAGCCUGUCGCUGCGCGCCGGCCAGAUAACCCAUAUCUUCAAUGGUUGACCUCGGAUCAGGUAGGGAUACCCGCUGAACUUAA